AAAUAUAAUUAAUUUUUAAUUAAUAAGUUUAAGAAUUUAAUAUAAAUAAUUAAAUAAUUAAAAUAUAAAAAAAUUAAAAUUAAAAUAAUAUUAAAAAUUAAUAUUUAAGUAUUAAAAAAAAAAUUAUAUUAAAAUUAUUAUAGAUAGUAUUGUAAAAGAAAAAUUUUAAAUUAAAAAAAAAAAAUUAAUAUUGUACCUUUUGUAUCAGGGUUAAUUUAAAUUAAUAAAUAUUUAAAAAUUUAAAUCUCGAAUUAAAAUGAGUUAAUUAUUUAUUUUAUUUAAUAUUUAAUUAUUAUUAAUAAUAUUUAAUUAGAAAUAAAAUUUUAUUCGAUUUUUAAUUUAUCUAGUUUUUUUUUAAUUAAAUUUAAUUUAUAUAUUAUUAUUAUUAUUAUUUAUUAAAAAAAAAUAUAAAUAAUAUAAAUAAUUUUAGGGAUAAACUUAAAAUUAUUAUUAAUAUUAAAGUUUAAAAAUUAAAAAAAAAAAUAUUAUUAAAAUUUUAAAUUUUUAGAUAAAAUGUGAUAAUUAAUUAUUUAUUAAUAAAAUUAAUUUUAAAAUUUAAUUUAUUAAAAAGAUAAAUUAAUUAAUAUUAAAUUAAUUAAAAUAAUAAUUAAAUUAGUAAAAUUAUUUAAAUUUAAUUUUAAAAUUUAAGAUUAAAUUAAGGAAUUAGGCAAAUUUUAAAAUUCAUCUGUUUAACAAAAACAUAGUUUGUUGAAAUUAAUAAUAAAUAAAAUCUGCUCAAUGAAUGAAUUUAAAUAGCUGCAGUAUAAUUGACUGUGCAAAGGUAGCAUAAUCAUUUGGUUUUUAAAUGGAAUCUGGAAUGAAGGAUUAAAUGAAAUUUUUACUGUCUCAAUUUAAUUAAUAAUUAAAUUUUUUUUUUUUGUUAAAAAACAAAAGUUUAAUUAAAAGACGAGAAGACCCUAUAGAAUUUUAUAUUUUAUUUUAUAAAUAAUAAUUUAAAAUAUUUUAUUGGGGAAAUAUUAAAAUUUAAAAAAUUUUUAAUGUAUAAAUAACAAUAAUUAUUGAAUUAAUUGAUUAAUUUAUAGUUAAUUUAGAAAAAAUUACCUUAGGGAUAACAGCGUAAUAUUUUUUGGAUAGUUCAUAUUGAUAAAAAAGUUUGCGACCUCGAUGUUGAAUUAAGAUAAAUUUUUAUUGAAGAAAAUAAAGGAUUAAGUCUGUUCGACUUUUAAAAUCUUACAUGAUUUGAGUUCAGAUCGGUGUAAGCCAGAUCGGAUUCUAUCUUUAAUAAAUAUAUUUAAAUUUGUACGAAAGGACUUUUUAAUGAAAAUAUUUUUUUUUUAAAAUUGAUUAUAUUAAUUAUUUUAACAUUAUAUUGUAUUAAAUUAUUAAUUUAAUAAUACUUAAAAAUAAUUUAUAUUAUUAUUUAAUUUAUAUUUAAUUUAAUAAUUUUUUGAAAAAUAUAGAUUAAAU
rnacentral:rRNA from 1 species